GCCGGCGGAAGAGGCGGUGCCGCGGGGCGGGGCGGGCAGCCGGAGCCUGAGACCCCUACCCACACGAUCCCCGGCCCGCGGGAGGGGCGCCCGGCCCAGGCGGUGCGCGGGGUCUGCGCGAGCUUCCGGGAGGCCUCGGGGCGGCGGCCUCACCUCCUCCGCUUUAUGACCCCUAGAGCUGUCACCGGGGAAGCCUCCUCGCAUCCCUGGGGUACGGUCACCCCAGACGGUCUUGUCCGCGGAAGCCAGUCGGACAAUCCCUUUCCCGGCCCCGCUGCGAACCGCUCACCCCGAGGAGGCCACGUUGUGUCCUCGGGAUCCGAUCACCCUGAAGAGUUCUCAUCCUGAAAGCUGGUCGCCUCGAGGAGGAGGCCCGGCCCGUCGCCGAUGGCCAUAAGAAAGCCCCAUUGUCAUCCCCUGCGCCGGUCAUUCCAAGGAGGCCCUCUCGCGCCCCCGUGGACUGGUCACCCAGAGAAGGCCCCUUCCCGUCUCCAGGAGUCAGUCACCUGAGGAAUCCGCGUCCAUCCCCAGGAGCUGGUCACCCCGAGGAGACCUCAGCCUGACCUUGGGGUAUCAUCCCCUCAAGGAAGCCACAUCCAGUCCCUUGAGAGACGGUCACCAGAGGAGGUCUCAUCCCUGGGGUGUGGCCACCCCAAGAGUCUCGUCCUGGUCCCAGGGGCAGUCACCCAAAGAAAAACCUCUGUAAAGGAGCAGCCGCAUACAGCAGGUGCAGAGCCGACUGAAGCCUGCACCCAUAUAGGUUCCAAGAAGCCUCCAUACUCUCUAUCCCUGAAAAGACAAGUUGAAUUUUUUCAUUUCUUCUAACUUUGCCUCAAAUAUGGGCCAGUGUGAUAUAUACAUAAGUAAAAUGCUCGUGGUGUUUAA